AGUAACCUGCCUUUCAGAGGGGGACAACAGUUGGAAACGACUGCUAAUACCGCAUAAUAUAUAUGGACCGCAUGAUCUGUAUAUCAAAGAUUUAUCGCUGAAAGAUGGACUCGCGUCUGAUUAGCUAGUUGGUGAGGUAACGGCCCACCAAGGCGACGAUCAGUAGCCGGACUGAGAGGUUGAACGGCCACAUUGGGACUGAGAUACAGCCCAG
rnacentral:rRNA from 1 species